rnacentral:rRNA from 1 species
UGGGGAUUUUUGCACAAUGGGGGAAACCCUGAUGCAGCGACGCCGCGUGAUUUAGAAGGCCUUCGGGUUGUAAAAAUCUUUUCUAUGGGAAGAAAAUGACAGUACCAUAGGAAUAAGGACCGGCUAAUUCUGUGCCAGCAGCCGCGGUAAUACGUAAGGUCCGAGCGUUGUUCGGAAUCAUUGGGUGUAAAGGGUACGUAGGCGGGUAAGCAAGUUAGAAGUGUAAUACUGUUGCUCAACUACAGUAAGCCUUUAGAACUGCACAUCUUGGGGUAUGGAAGGGAAAGUGGAAUUCCCAGUGUAGCGGUGGAAUGCGCAGAUAUUAGGAGGAAUCCCGGUGGCGUAAGCGACUUUCUGGCCAUGAUCCUACGCUGAGGUACGAAAGCGUGGGUAGCAAACAGG